rnacentral:rRNA from 1 species
CAUUAAAGAGUUCUAUAACUCCCAAACCCAUGUGAACAUACCUAACGUUGCCUCGGCAGGUCGCACCUACCUUGUAGCACCCUACCCUGUAGGGCCUACCCGGGAGGUGCGGGUAAGCCUGCCGGCGGCCCACCAAACUCUGUUUGAUAUUGAAUUCUGAACCUAUAACUAAAUAAGUUAAAACUUUCAACAACGGAUCUCUUGGUUCUGGCAUCGAUGAAGAACGCAGCGAAAUGCGAUAAGUAAUGUGAAUUGCAGAAUUCAGUGAAUCAUCGAAUCUUUGAACGCAUAUUGCGCCCAUUAGUAUUCUAGUGGGCAGGACCGUUCGAGCGUCAUUUCAACCCUUAAGCCUUCGUUGCUUAGUGUUGGGAGCCUACGGCAACGUAGCUCCUCAAAGUUAGUGGCGGAGUUGGUUCACACUCUAGACGUAGUAAUUUUUUAUCUCGCCUAUUAGUUGGACUAAUCCCCUGCCGUAAAACCCCUAAUUUAUCAAGGUUGACCUCGAAUCGGUUCAGACAAACUCGCUAAAUUGAAGCAUCUUAGUCAGCGAAGGAAAAGAAACCAACAGGGAUUGCCCUAGUAACGGCGAGUGAAGCGGCAACAGCUCAAAUUUGAAAUCUGG